UCCUUUCUUCCUUGUAGAACUGUUCACCAUACAAGUGAACAUGUUGCUGAAGGAUGCUUCUGCCCCAAGGAUAAGAUUCUCUUCAAUUCAUACACUGACGUGUGUGUGCCAGAAUGCACUUGUGUGGGACCAGAUGGAAUGCCCAAACUGCCUGGAGCCAUUUGGAAGAGUAACUGCCAGGAGUGUGUCUGUGACCCAUUCUCUGUUACUGUACAAUGUAAGUCACUUACAUGUCAGACACCCGAGACACAAGUGUGUGAGAAAGAAGGAUUUAUACCUGUCCCAGUGUUGACACCAGAAGAUCCAUGCUGUCCUGAAAUUGAAUGCAGUAAGUACUGGCAGUAAGUUAUAGCCAGCUCAUAAAAA
rnacentral:lncRNA from 1 species